CAAUUCCACCCAUUGUACCUUAAAUUACAAACUACAGAGUCUGUUCGUUUUUUGCUUAAAUUUACAAACUACGGUGUUCGUUUUUUGUAUCACUUCUUUGUUCGAAUUGUUGUCAUCGACGUUGGGUGAACAACAGAAGAUUUCAUUCAUAGCUACUUUACAAAAUAUUUAAAUUUAAGCUUUUCAGCGUCGGCUUCGGCUGAAAUAAAGAACAAUCUUGAUGGUUUAAAGACGGCACGUCCAGAAACUUUGUUUUAUCUUUUAGACUGUCGCGUGAUUACCGUCAAGUUUAUUCUUU